GGGAGCGGAGGGUGUCUGGUGAUGCCUCCGGACUUCAAAUCCGGCAAAGGGUCCUUGAACGGUCCUUGGUGGGUUCGAUUCCCAUGCGCUCCCGCCA
rnacentral:tRNA from 1 species